rnacentral:rRNA from 1 species
UGGGGAAUAUUGGACAAUGGGCGCAAGCCUGAUCCAGCAAUGCCGCGUGUGUGAAGAAGGCCUUCGGGUUGUAAAGCACUUUUAUCAGGAGCGAAACGCUGUCGGCUAAUACCCGGCGGAACUGACGGUACCUGAGGAAUAAGCACCGGCUAACUUCGUGCCAGCAGCCGCGGUAAUACGAAGGGUGCAAGCGUUAAUCGGAAUUACUGGGCGUAAAGCGUGCGUAGGCGGUUUCUUAAGUCUGCUGUGAAAUCCCCGGGCUCAACCUGGGAAUGGCAGUGGAUACUGGGAGGCUAGAGUGUGUCAUGAGGGUGGUGGAAUUCCCGGUGUAGCGGUGAAAUGCGUAGAGAUCGGGAGGAACAUCAGUGGCGAAGGCGGCCACCUGGGACAACACUGACGCUGAGGCACGAAAGCGUGGGGAGCAAACAGGAUUAGAUACCCUGGUAGUCCACGCCCUAAACGAUGCGAACUGGAUGUUGGUCUCAACUCGGAGAUCAGUGUCGAAGCUAACGCGUUAAGUUCGCCGCCUGGGGAGUACGGUCGCAAGACUGAAACUCAAAGGAAUUGACGGGGUCAUAGCUGUUUCC